rnacentral:rRNA from 1 species
UACGUAGGUGGCGAGCGUUGUCCGGAUUUGCUGGGCGUAAAGGGAGCGUAGGCGGACUUUUAAGUGAGAUGUGAAAUACCCGGGCUCAACUUGGGUGCUGCAUUUCAAACUGGAAGUCUAGAGUGCAGGAGAGGAGAAUGGAAUUCCUAGUGUAGCGGUGAAAUGCGUAGAGAUUAGGAAGAACACCAGUGGCGAAGGCGAUUCUCUGGACUGUAACUGACGCUGAGGCUCGAAAGCGUGGGGAGCAAACAGGAUUAGAUA